GCGACCUGCCGCCAUCAUCCUCAAGGGUCCUCUCCCCAGCCUGAAGUGAAAACCCUGAAGCAACAGGUAGAUGGUUCCUACAUACUCUGGCUUGCCGUGCAGAGAUGACCUGAUCCCAUGACUCUGAUAAGGCGUUUUCCUUCUGGUUAUCUCAGGGCAUGGAGAGAGCACGAAGCUUGCAGGGUUUGGAUGAUGAAAGGAACGCGAGUUUCCUACGUGCGAUGUGUAGAAUAAUAGUCACGAGUGUUUGUUCACAUGUGCACAUGUGCCUGUGGAGGCCGGGGAUCCGUGGCAAGCAUCUUCCCUCAGGUUCUCUUCACUCGUUGUCUGAGUACAGUAUUUCUCACUGAACCGGAAGCUCACUCCCUUGUCUAGCCUGGGUGGCCAGCUCCCGCUGAGCCAGCUCCAGGGAUGGAAUUGUCUACAUUCUUAGCUCCACUGCAAGCCAUCUUCAGGGUUACAGUUGUGCCUGGAUUGCCUGGAUGUCAGUCCUGACAGUGCGGACUCAGCUCCCCAAAUUUUACUGACCAAACCACUUUCCGACCCCAAAUUUGAUUGUAAAGGUUAGUUGAAUAUCCUCACAAAAGACUCAUGAUACUCUUAUAGCCUGCUUUAUGUUCGCUAAGUUUAGAUUACCUACAGUCUUUCGGGUUUUCUAGUCUCAAAAUAGCAUGUGAUUAUAUCCGUAUUUACCUAUUACGGAUUGUUAGGGGUUUCAUUAUGAUUAGUAUGAAAUCUAGUGAGCUGUAGCCAUCAGUGUGGUUACUUGGUUUUAAAUUUAGUGUCAUAUAUUAAUUAAUUAUAUAUUGUAUUAUAUAUUAUAUUUAAUUAAUAAUAAAAAAUGUGUGCCCUGGGGGCUGGAGAGAUGGCAGAGAUGGAGGUCUUCUAAUGGUUGACAGAGAGGGGAACCUGAGUGGGUUCCUUGGGUGGUAUUGGAGUCUAGUCUGGGCUCUUUUGAUCACAGGUCCAAAAUGUCAUCCAGAGGUCUCACCUCCUGCCCCAGUCUCUGUACACUGAAGUUACGUGUGGCGCCCACCCCCCUCCUUCCCAGUCUGCUCUGUCUCAAGAGCUUCUCCUAGCUCUCUAACAACCCGACAGCCCUUCCACCUUCCUUUCUUUUCUCCUAAUUUUCACUCUUCCUUUCUUGUCUCACUGUGUAGCCGAGACUGGCCACAAAUCCAUGAUUAUCCCGCCUUGCCACAAGAGCUUGGACACCAGGCAUGCAGCGGUCGUCACUGUACACAGCUCCUCCUCUGUUUUAAAAUUGUUUAGGAAAUGAUUAUUUUAUGUGUAUUGCUGUUUUACCUGCACGUGUGUUUGUGCACCAUGUGUGCAUGCUUGGUGCCCGUGAAGGCCAGUGGAGGGAAGCUGAUGACCUGAAACUAGAGUUAUAGGUGACAGGGAACCACCAUGUGGGGGCUCGGAAUGGAACCUGGGUCCUCUGGAAGAGUAGCCAGUGUUCUUAACUGCUGAGCACCUCUCUGGUCCAGCCUCCUCUGUUUUUUUCCCCCUUUAAAAAAGUUAUUUGUUUUACCUCUUGAGACUAUAAUUUAAUAUAAUAUAAUUUUCCCUUUUUUCUUUCUUCUUAACCCUCCCAUGUACCCCUCCAUGUUUUCUUGCAAUUUCAUGACCUUUUUUUUCAUUAAUUGUUGUUCUAUACAUAUAUGUACAUGUAUGUACAUAUAUUCCUAAGUAUCAUCUGUUCAGUCUAUAUGAUGUUACUUGUGUGUGUGUGUGUGUAUGUUUUCAAGACUGACCGUUUGGUAUUGGACCACCAACCGGUCUGUUCGUCCUUGGGGAAGACUACUUCUCCAGCUCCCAGCUCUCCUCAGUUGCCCACAGGUAGCGUUGAGGCCCGUGGGCAUUCCCACCCACUUUGGCAGGUCUGUUGCUGCUGUCCUUCCUCAGGUUGUGUUUCAGAGGUUGGCGAGACUUUGUGGGUGUAGCCUCUGACAUUGCUAGGGACAGGGUCUCACAGCAGACUCCCAGAUCACAGGCUUUCACAAUCUUUCCACCCCUUCUUCCUCAGUGUUUCCAGUAAGGGAGUGUUUUGUAGAUGUGUCCAUUGGGACUGGGCUCCACAACUCUGCCUUUGAUCUGGUGUGGUUUUCCGUAGUGGUGUCUGUUGCAAGAACUUUCCUUGCUGAGGGGUGGAGACUACACCUGCCAUGAGCAUAAGGACAGGUGUUAAAGUCCGACGCCCAGGUUUUUAACUGAACAUUUGUGGUAGAUUUCUAGCUUCCCCUUAAUUUCCUCUUCUAGUGUUUCUUAGACCCUGCUUCAAGAUUAACUGUCUGACUAUGCACAGGAAUGCCUUUCAAAAUUAAACAAAGACAAACACGAGGGUCGAUAAUGAAAAAAAAAAAAAGAAAAGAAAUAAAAUGACUUUCUGCCUAAUAAAGGCCGAGGUUCUUAAUAUUGAAUUUCUAACCUUACAGUCUUAUCUCCAGAAAAAUGAACCAUGCUUGGCUCCUUAACACAGUGCAAACUUUCCCUGUGGACUUUGAUCAAUUUGAGAAAAUGAAGACUCUGUUCGGGCUAUGACUUUAUUUUCUUUCCUUAAAAAUAUCUUAUUACACAUAGUGUGCUGUCUAUCCCAAAUCCCAUUUUGCCUUUGUGUUGGGACAGUGAGGAAUAGAACUUGGAGAGAUGUGAAUAUCCAACGGUAUCUUCUCACGUACCUUAGGUCUUUCUGCAUUGUCGUCGUCAUCAUCAUCAUCAUCGUUGUUGUUCUUGUUUAUUGGAUUUUAUUUUAUUUUAUUUUGUUUUAUUUUGCCUUUUGCUUUUCUGCCUCUGCUUCCCAAGCCUUAGAAGUAAGUGCCGGUAUGUACCAUUGUACUUACGUGCUGAGGUCUUCAUUUUAGGCAUUAAUGUGCUGUCUGUCUCUCCCACAAAAAGUGGCUUUCUAUCUCAGAAGUCUGUAAAGGAUUAUUAAGUAGUGUGUCACAGCGAGGCUUCCUCACCCACCCAGUUUCCCACUCAAUAGACCGCAGUUGUUUGCUGUGUGCAUGCAUGAUACAGAAGAGCAGCCUCCCUGCCUCUCCUCCUGCCUGGCUGGUGGUGAGCAAACAUGACUAUGUUCACCACUGGGCAUCUCUCUUGCUGCCAAGGCCAUGGGAAGCAGAUGCUACUUGAAUCACCACGUGUAGUGAAAACCUUUCCUGUAGGAUAUUUCCAUGUUUCCUGGCUUUUCACAGCACUUUGGUAACUUUUGUUUAAAGCUGGUUUAGGGUUUUUAAUGCUUAGGCUUCCUUACACAGAGGUGGAUCUCCUCGCUUCUUGCUGUCCUGUUUCUUGUGGGGUUUCCUCAAUUUUACGCUUGUUCCAAUGAUGUGGACUUGCUCCUCAGACAUCACUCCUUGAUGCUAGGUUACUGGUGAUCUCCUCCUCCUCCUCCCCUUCCUCCUCCUCUUCCUCCCCCCUCCUCCUCCCCCUCCUCCUCUUUCUCCUCCCUUUCCAUGUCCUCCUCCUCCUCUUCCUCCUCUUUUUUUUUUUUUGGUCCACUCCACUUUGUUGUAUUCUAAAUAAAGCUAUGACCAUUUAUAACUAGUACGUAAAUAACAAAUUUGUCUGUUGCAAAAGCUUAUGAUCAUUUUGCAACUCUGUUGAUUUUAAGUUUGUCAUAAAUAGUAUUUAAUAUGAUUCCUUCUUGUUAACCCAAAUUAACAUGUAUAUUAAUAUGGAUGAUUUUCAUAUUUAAAGGAUACACAGGCUCAUAUGCGAUUGUUCUCUGAAAAUCCCUUGUAGCCAUCACUACUAUUCUUUUGUAAGGAACUCUUGUGCAUGCAUGUGCACACACACAUACACACACACACACGCACAUGCAAGUACACACAUAUUCACACAGUUUUCCUUAUAAAACUGUUUUUACUCUUCUGCCAACUUUAGGGAAUAUUCUCACAUUUAGGGAUCAUCUUGAUUUUCUUUGGUUCUAAUUUUUUGUCUUUGAUGUGGAAUUUCUGUGCGAUCCCUGGUAUACAGUGAAAAGUAGUGAGGGACUUGAUGCUCCUGGACCCUGAGCUGCUUCCUGUAUUCUUAAGCUAACAACAAUCUCCAAGAGCUGCAUUAAGCACAGCUAAGGACGUUCUUUUCUACUUCUUCACAUUUGUUCUUGUUCAUGAGCAGGAAGGGUUUCCUGCCAUCUCUGCCUUUCACAUAGCUUUCGUGUGUGUGUGUGUGUGUGUGUGUGUGUGUGUGUGUGAUGGUUAUUUCCAUCUCCCUUUGGAUGCAUGAUUGCCAAUGGCUUACACUGUUGGAGUGAGAAGGCUGGGAGCACACUGUUGAGUUAAAACUGAACCCAGAUGCCAACGGUUGUACACAUCCAUGUCAGAAAUGGCUAUCGCCUAAGCUGUGUGCCGGAGGUGUGAAACUUGAAUGACCUCAUUUGCAGCCAAUACUCACUUGCUUUCUGAUACCCACACAGGGCAAGGCAGGGGAACAGCGGUCUUAGCCACACAGAUGGCUAAAUGUCACUGGUCAGCUGGAGAUCUUAACUGAGAGGGUCUGGGUUUAGAUGUACUGUUCACAGCUCUUCUUACUGUGGUUGCUGAGUUCUGGUGGGAGGCAGGAUGUUAGAGGGUCUGUGUUAGCGUGUACUAACCUCACAGAUGACAAGUUAGAAGCGGCUAGUAGUUAGCUAGUCAGUAUCAGGAGAAAGGGAGCUAGGCAUGGUGGUGUGCCUCUUAAUCCUAGUACUUGGGCGGCAAAGACAGAGGUAGGCAGACCUCUGAAUUUGAGACCAGACUGGUCUACAGUGUGAGUUCAAGGCCAGCCAGGUGACCCUGUCUCCAAAACAAAACAACAUAAAACAAAACUAAAUAACAAAGAAGGAGAAUGGGAAGUCAGCACUGCCAAGGUGGGCACAAACAUUACGAAUUUCUUUUAUCAAUCUGCUAAGAUUGUUUUUGUAGUUUAAAGACUUAAAACUUUUAGCCCUAUUUGCUUCUAGUUUGUGUUUCGAAAUCACUAGGUAGAAAUAACUACAGUUUGGGGCUGGAGAGAUGGUUCAGUGUUUAAGCGCUGGCUGCUCUUCCAGAGUUCAAUUCCCAGAAACCGCAUGGUGGCUCACAACCAUCCGUAAUGGGAUCUGAUGUCCUCUUCAGGUGUGUCUGAAGAGAGUGACGGUAUACUCACAUACAUAAAAUAAAUACAUCUUUUUUUGAAAAGAAAAACCAAGUUCACAUUUUUAAAUUCUGUGGUGCCUUAUAUAUUCUUUCACUUUCUGUUUUGAAAUAAUUUCAAACUUGCAAGAAACUUAGAAGAAGAUCUCACAACUUUCUGCAAAUAUUUUCUUUUUCUGCUCUUUCCCUGGAACAGUUCGGAAUACAUAGCACACAAGGACACAAGGCGUCCUUUGCCCACAGCUGCACCUUUGUGUAUCUCCCACACAAGGACAGUCUCCUAUGCCACAGCAGCACAGUGACCAAAGGCAAGAUGCUAACACUAAUCUCUAUGUUCUGUUAUGCACUUCUCCGCUCUUCAUCAAAGUUGUUGAUUUUCCAGUGUUGUCAGUUCCCCUACAGGUUCUCAUCUGCAAUUCCUUUAGCUGCUUGGUUUCCUUUCAUAUGGAGCAGCGCGUCUCUUGUAGUUGCUGCACUUUUGAAGAAUCCAGGUCGGUUAUUCCGUAGACUGUCUCCAUAAAGACUUAGCUGAUAUUUCUUCGUGAGUGCACUGACCAGCGUGUUUUGACAGGCUUCUUAGGAGUGAGGCUGUAUUCUGGGUGUAUUAUAUUACGAGGCACACCUUGUUGCCUCCCUCCCAUCCUGCUGAGGUUUAAUGGUGACUACCUGCUUUAGGCGGCACCUGUCAGCUUCUUCAUUAAAAACGCAAGUACAGGAACCUACUUAUCCCCCAGGUCAUGACAUCUUUUUUUUUCCAAGGCCGUAUAUACGCUCUGCGUCAUUAUGGCUGCACGUUCAUAGGAUGUCAGGGGUAGGAAUUCCUUGGGAUUUGUAGUGGACAGGGUACAUUUGCAUCAGACUCAGGCAGCAAGUGAGGCUGGUGCUAUUCUCUCUCCAUCUGUGCUGGGCACAGCUGUGGCCAGAGUGAGCAGCCUGACCUCUUUGUGCCAGCAUCUCUGACUCUGUGCUGCCCGGGGCUGAGCCAUGGAAGCACAAGGAUGUCUGGCCUCGUGCUUUACAGCAGCAGAUGCUGAGUCCACAACGAUGUCCUGGGCAUUAUGUGAAUAACGGGGUCACCCAUGGCUGUGGACAGCUGGGUGUUCUACAAGCACAUAGGCACACAGCUGGGGUGGGUGACAGGGAUGGCUUCUCUAGCACUGCGUCCCUGGAUGGGAUGGACAGAGAGCUCUUGGCGAAGCUCACAGAGGAGGAAGGCGGUCCCAGCCUUUAUUCUUUGGAACUGUGAUUUCACUGCUGUUGACUGUUCAGCAGUCUUUAUAUUCUCUUUUUCUGCCCCAUAAGAGCCAGAGCUAACCUCUGCUAUCUUGAGGUAACCUCUACUUCCCAUGCACUAGUGGAGAGCAUGAGAGUGGGGAGCUGCAGUGUGCACGGUCCUCCUCAGGAGCCUCCACACCACUUUUAGUCGCUUGUUUCCUUCUUUGUUUCAAACAGAAAGGAAGGGAGAGCAGGCGUUGUUGUUACAUCUUGCCGGAUGGUAGCAUGACAGGGACUUCCCAAAAUGUAAUGUGAGGUAGGCAGGGGCUCCAUCCUCAACCCUGGUCUAUGGUCGAUGCUGCUUCUGCCACCUCCCGAGGAAGGGAAAAGGGACUGGAAAUGAAUUCCAUAAGGGGCGGGGCUGCUACUCGUGGGCAUGCCGAGUUGUCUACUUUCAACACAGGUGGGGUGGGGGAGUAUCCAUGCCAUUUGUGGCCACCGGGGCCUGCUGGGAGAGGUCCUGACAGUGGGAAGCUAGGAGAGUUUGGUAGCUCUCUGGUGGGUUUGGGCGAAUCUCAGGUGGUAGAAGGGCUUGAAAAAUCUGAAAGGGGAGACAUGGCUAGUGAGAAUUUGUUAACACCACUCGUUAAUCACCUUUUGUUAAACAAGUGAUUAAAUCAUGAGCUUAGCUUCUCAUUCAUAAAUGAUAGAGGCAAUAUCCUCUUGUGCUUGUGUAUAUAGAAUUGGGCAGUGCAUAUAGCAUAACAGUUGGGACAUAUUUUGCAAUAAAUAGAUGUUACCAUAUAAUGCGUUUUAUCACCUUAUAAUCAUUCAUGUUGCCUCUACCUUCACCACUUUGCUCUUACAAUGCCAUUAUGUCUGUUUUGUGCUGGCUGUCAUGGGUUGGGGGUGCAUAGCGUCUCUUUCUGGCACUGCCCCCAGUAGUGGACUCUGAGAUGAAGAUAGAUACAGGACAGCCCAGACGGUGGAACUCACUUUUCAUUAGGGAGCACAGAGCACACAUCCCUGUAGCUCCAAGGGUAGCAGAGAGUCAAACCAUCAGAUCACGUGCCCUGGCGUAUAUACUGCUGGUGUGAGAACGGUCAUGGAGCUGGUAGAUAAGCCCAGGGGAGAGGAGAGAGAAGCAGUGUGUACCGUUCACUUGCUUGUGCUGGGCUAGGUAGUUGGUUCAUAUUUUCUGUCUCAGUUUUUGCAUCAUUAGAACAGUCAGUGACAUUCUGAAUGUGUUAUCUCUUGAAUAGUAGUAAGUGGGAGAUAUGUUGAGUAUGGCCCCAAAGACCAUAACUAUGUUUAAAUAGCUGUGGAAAAGUAAAAACCUGGUGUAUACUGCUAAGCCAAUAUUCAAGACCAUCAAUAUUCGCCUCAGUUUUCAGACUCUAAGUUGAGAUCCAGAACUCUGGGCCUUGACUGCAGCCAGCAUCCUGACUAGGUGGCUCCAAAGCCAACUUCUCAGCCUCUUACCGUUUAGGUUCUGUAGUUGAGAAAAGCAGGAAACGACUUUUAAGCUUCUGCAAAGCUGUCUUCCUCCCUCGUGCCAUCUCAGUUCAGUCAGGUGUUGAAACCAGAAGAAAUGAGGUGGUUUUUAGCUUUGUUCCAUGUUUUCCCAGUAGAGGGCAGCAGUUGCCUUUAGAGGACCCCAAGGGAAGGUUAGGCGUGUGGAAGCCGCAGCCCUGGAGCAGAAGCUGACUGAGGUAAUCCGGUUAGUCAGGUGGCUGCUCUUUUAUAGGACAGUCCAGGUCCACUGCCUUCAUCCAUGUGCCCAGGGAUGGUGCUGCCCAGAGUGGGCGGGCCUCCCCAUGUCAAUCAUCAGUGACGACCGUUUCGCUCAGACAUGGCCACAGGUGAGUCUGAAGGCAAUGAUUUAGUUGAGGCUUCCUCUUUUCAGGUGAUUCUAGGUUGUGUAACGUUGACAACAGAGGUAUCUGGGAUACGCAGGUGCAUCAGAUAGGCUCGGGGCUGCAGUCCUCUUAACUCGUGUGUUUCUUAACUCUCCUCCUACAGAAGCAACUGCGUGUGUUGGUGUACCAUUGAGGGACCACAUGCUCCUAGAGAGGAUGGUGGAGGUGUUACCUCUCAUAAAUGUUAGGGCUACUGUUCGGCAGGUACAGUGUCUGGGGCAGGUCUUCCGGGGACAGCGAAGACGCAGAGACUCUCAUUCCUUCUUAAGUGUAAGGUCAGUUUAAAAGACUUCCUUUGGUGGGAGCAGUGCCUUCUCCCACUAGGGGGCGCUGUCAGAAUAGUUCAUUUCAGUCCUGACCCUCGGAAUCGCUGACUGUUGUAUAAAAACAAUCUCGCUGCUGUCGAUUGUGUCCUUUUGCUCAGUAUUUGUGCUGCGUGUGAAUUUGACAGAGGUGAGGGCAGAGGCAGCAGCAGGGCAAAAGCAUCACAGAAUAUUACUUUCCGUGCAGACGACCAAGCAAGAGAAAACAAAACAACCCCCAAACAUUUUAUUGUUAAAUUUUUCCCCUCUCCCUGGGUUUGCUAUGCUGUGUGUUUUUUGUUUGGUUGGUUUUUUUGUUUGUUUUUCUCUGAUCCUCACUUGGAGGGAAAGCCUGUGCCUUUUAGAUUGAGGUGACUUUUCAAGACACUGAGCUUUGUUAGGUAUGGGAGGUUUGGGGAUCCAUUUUGGAGAUUUGGAAACAGCGAUAAGAAUUCUGAAGUAAGAGACGCUGGUUUUAAACUGCCAAGAACUGUCAGCAUUCUGUCCUGGAAACACUUGGGCGGAAUCAUUGGCUGUGUUGCACGGCAGCCACGUGCUUGAGGGCGGUAUGUUCGUGUGCAGUCAGCGCUUCCCGUUUGCCUUUGACAGACUUGCUCAGCUUUCCCAAGGAUUUGUAUGUACAUGGCUGUGUUUUCCAGGAUAGGCUGCGUAUGUUUGCUGAUGGAGAGCCUUUAUCCCUGCUUGCAUCCCACCUCCCGCCCACAGUUCGCCAGCCUCUGUACCUGACUCCCAGUUCACAGCUUCCUACUUGGAAUCUUCGUGCUGCUUCCAGGAUGAGACCUGCAGCACAGGGAGGGCAGGGCCGCGAAUGGUUCCUUCAUCCCUCUGGGCUCUGUUUCCACCGUGCCCACCUCAGCCACUGGUGGGUUUAUUGCCUUACAGAGUUUGGCACCGGGAAAUAGAACCUGGGAAAUUCGCACGUGUUUCCCACGAGGGCUCUCUGCUGGUCCUCUCCCUGGUUCAGAAAGCUGCCCCUCAACCAAGCUGCACUUUAACGCGCAGUGUCUUCACGCGGUCAUGUUUUGUUUGGACAUUUGCAUGGCAGCAGGAGGUCGUAGUUGGAAGGUCUGGAGAAAAGGACUAGCUGGGGGGAGAAGCUGAAUGUUGGCUGGGUUUUGGGGGUAGGAACCCAUCCCCUUUCCAGCCUGAGCUUUUUGCUUCCCAACCUCUAGAACUGUAACAGGCUUCUGGCUUUAGCUUCUGCACAGCCAUGCCUUCCCCACCACGAAUGAAGGACCGUGUCCCCGUUAACUGUGAUCCAAAAAUCGAUCCCUCUCUCCACAGUUGUUUCUGUCAGGUGUUUUGUUAACGAAGACAAAAGCCACUCACUAUUGCUGUAGCUCCAGGGUGGCUGGGUGAGGCUUUCUCAUGUCUCCCGAAGCCCCAGCUGCUCCAUGGUCUUAGUCUGUACCACCCUGGCCCUGUGACUGCAGCUCCAUGGCCCUGUGACCCCGAGACCCCGGUUCUGUCAUACUCUGUGUCAAGCUGAGUUCCCGCCCUUCGACUUUGCCGCGGUGCAGCCUCUGAGUCCCGUGGGCUUAGGAGCAGUGAGUGAUCUGUUAGUUCCUGUGUAGACUGUGCUCAGCACUGUCCCUGCAGGUAUUUUUUAAGGAAACUUCGGGGAGUAAGAUGGUGGUGCAGUGGCCUCUGGCAUAAUCCCGAGAGCAGGAGGAGACAGCUAAACCUUUGCUCCAGGGGGAUCUCUGAGGUUGCUCUCCGCUCUCUGGGAUUCCCCUGGUCCACAGCUAAGAUUUGGAUGCAGCUGAUUCAAGGUUUAAAAUCUUUCACUACUGGGCUUUCUGGGAGUCCUUAGCCUAAAGUCGAUGGUUGAGCCACUCAACAAGGUGGCUGGUGCAGGGGGUUGACAUUUAGUCCCGCCCAGCAUGUCCUCUAGCCAGCAGGGAGCAUGUGCUCCCCUGCCACCGUUCAGUUCACUUACUAAGGUGCUCCAAUACCUGGCUAAGUUAAUUCUCCCUAAUCGUGUGUUCCUAAAAUCUUCUCCUCUCCUCCACUGAGGGGAAAUCGUGUUAAACUUUCCUCAUCUCAAUCUUGAAAAUCUUGAAAAUGAGUUUGGCAUUUUGGAGGUGGGAAGCUCAAAGUCACUGAUAGUCAGGAAGUGUGGGGCAUUGUGGGGGCAGGAAGGAGUGCUGCGGAGAGAAGCCUACCUUGUGCCUUCCUACCCCCUUUCCGGUCCUGUUCCCUGAGUCUCAGAGACCAUGGUAGGGGAGCUGAGGUGCAGAACAAGUUUAGAAACAGAGAAAAGGGGGCAAGGAUGGGGGCUGUCCUUGUUUGGAGCUAAUCAAAUGUGAUUGGUUUAUUAGAGAUUCCGGACUAACUUUUUGAAAGGCAGAAUUAUUUUGUAUUUUUAGAAAAGAUCUUUAAAACUCAGUCAUUUUGAAAACAAAUUAAAAUUGAAGGAAUCUAGUUAAGGUUGCUUUGAUAACAGAUUUUUUUUUUGAAGCUUGCUCUUUAAUUACUGCUGACACAUUCAAAUGCUGAUUUAGAAGCAUCUGAGAAGUUCUAUUUACUUUCCCAGACUCAAACACAAAGGGAAGGAGCCCUGUGCAGCCUGCUAGGCAGCCACUGGGCUGAGGCAUGCGGAGGGAGCGCUCACACUUGAAAGGCUGCAUGGAGCUGCUUGGCUCCUCAGCCAGCUUGUUGGCCUAUGUGAGGGAACUGGCCAGGCCCGAAGGGCAUGCAGGGUUGGGGGAAAGUGCAGACCUCUCACAAAGCCUCAAGCAGCGGCCAGGGGAAAGGCUCUGGGGAGCUAAGCAGCGGCCAGGGGAAAGGCUCUGGGGAGCUAAGCAGUGGCCAGGGGAAAGGCUCUGAGGAGCUAAGGGAGAGAAAGCCUGGGCCACCUAAAUGGGCUUGAAGGUCAAGCUCUUCAGAGCUGGUCCUGGCACUGCCACCUGCUCACGAGGGAGCCUUCACUGUGAGCCCCUUGUGGACAUAGCCAACUGUUGCCUCUCACUGAUUUGUAGGCUUAACGACCAGAAUCCUCAACUCUGUGUCUUUCAACCAGUCAGCUGCAGUUCUCCAGCUCUGUUGACCUUUGAGUCUCACCUAUUCUGCUACACCCUCGGACUGGAGGUAUUCCUCCCUCUGUCUGCACCCCCAAGGAGUCAAAGAGCGAAGCUGGGGUCUAUCAGACACUAUCAUAUUUUCAGAUGUCGGUGCAUAUCUUUAUGUGUCAGGUGAUGUCUAUCAUCUUUUUGAUGGCUACAUGACAUUCUGCUGCAAGAAUGAUUAAUUAAUUAGUUCUUUUAAUUACAGAGGGGUGAACAUCACUGGGUGUGCACUACUGCUAAAAUGUUAUCUAUUUGUUAGGAUAUAUUCCAAGGAAUGAAAUUGUUUCAUUAAAAAAAUGACCUAUAAUUGUUAAUGAGUAGUGUGCCUUACCAAUUCUUAAAAUGUAAGACGUUUUAUUUAACUCUACAUCUUAGUCUGGGGUUCUAGUCAAGUAAUGCUUUACACACACACACACACACACACACACACACACACUACUUACAUAGACAGCAAGCCAGAUACACAUUACUUGCACAGACAGGCAGAUAGACACAGUAUGAUACCUUAUUACUUACACAGACAGGCAGACAGACACACAUUGCUUACACAGACAGGAAGACAGAUAUUACUUACAUAAACAGAUAGACAGGCACAGGGUGCCUUGUUUACACAGACAGGCAGAUAGAUACACCUCUACUUACAUAGUCAGGCAGGUAGACAUCCAUUGCUUACACAGACAAGCAGACAGGCAGACGUUGUUUACACAGACAGGCGCGCACACUUUUAAGUACUACCUCAUUUCCACAGGCAGGCAGACACAGUAUGUGCUAUCUAUCUCACGGGUACUCGUCAGUAUUUGGCAUUGCAGUCAGCGAUACAGCUUUGGUUUGUUUUGACUUUCUCCUAGAGCUGUACUUAGCUAUUUUGUAGCGAGAUUUCGGAGCUUGAAACUGUCGGUGGUAAGUCAAGGAAAGAUUCCAGUGGGCCCUAUCCUAACGCAGAAGGACCUGCUCUUGGGAGAUUGGUAGUGAGGGACUCUGGGCCAUCCUGUUCUUUUUGUAUAAGGAAUUAGGCCAAGUGUGGUACCCGCUGAACGUGCAGUGCUGUGGGGUACUUUUCCUCAUUGCUCUGUCGCUAUAAUCGCCUCUGUCCAGAGCAAACAAAUGAUACAGCAGCUGCAAGCUGGAGAGCGCCGGACUGGCCCUUCCAUCAUGCCCUGGCUCACGCCUUUGCAGGGCUCACCACAGAGACCCCUGUCAGCUGUCUGUGCUGGCCCUGGUGUCUGGCAUGGUCCACACCCACGGAGAACUUCCCGAUGAUGUUAUCUGCUGUGGACCUUGGCUGGCAACCCUUGGGGCAAACCAGCAGGCUUGCCUUCUCAACCUCCUGGGUUUUUCUUUUUCUUUGUGAAGCCAAGACCAUUUAAACCCAGCACAGCCUUGAUCUCACUGUGAACGUGCGAGUGCAGAGGAGGGGAGGGGUUGCCCGUUGUACACGUGAGCAUACGGAAGCAUUUAAAUGUCACACCACGCUUACCUUUUGGUUUUUGAGGAUAUUGACGAGAAAGGUUAUUGCGCACCCCCUGGUUUCUAUGUGUGCGGAGUGCAGACACCCAGCAAUGGUGGGUGAUCUUGUUUUGAUGUAAAACUCUUCAUUUGCAGGACCCUGAGUCGCUGACUGACGUCUAUUUAGAGUCACUAUUAUUUGCUUCUGUUUCUGAUUCAAUUGUGAAAUUCUGAUUUCUUCAUGGCUGGUGAAUUUUUUUAAGUUCUCACCAUCCCCUAUUCAUCCAAUACAUGCCAACCCCUAGCAGAAUCUAUCUCUUUUCAGUAAUAAAUACCUCCCAAGCAGCCUUUUCUUUACAGCAGUGCCUCUCAACCUUCUAACACAGCAACCCUUUAAUAUAUUUCCUCAUGCUCUGUUGCCCCCCCCCACCAUACAACUAUUUUGUUGCUACUUCAUAACUGUAAUUUUGCUACUCAUAUGAAUCAUAAUGUAGAUAUCUGAUAUGCAGAAUAUUUGAUAUUCGGCCCCUGUGAAAGGGCCGUUCAACCUCCAAAGGGGUUGCGACCUCCAGGUUGAGAAUUAAAGUCAUCUGUGAUGCUGUUUCUAUGACACCCUACCGUUUCUCCUUACUACCUCUCCUGUAGAUGUUUGCCUUUCCCCUUCCUGUCGCUUCCUCAUAGAACGUGGUUUUGAGAUGAACAGGGCCUGUAGCCAUGCCCUGUACAUGGGGAGUCACGAUAGGCAGAUCCUGGAGCGUGGCCCAUUAAAGUUGGGAUCUGGAAUGUGAUGUCCAGAGUGAUUCAAAGGCUUCCUCUCGCUUGAGUGACACUGAUUGGAGGGUGUGGUACAUUUAAAAUGUGGGGCUUACACAGAGUUGAGGCUGGUAGGUGUGGGACCUUAAAGAGGUUUUUUAUUUGUUUGUUUGUUUUUUUCAGAGGGGUCCUGAUGGUUGGGUGUGCCUGUGAGAGGCAAUUCUUUACGGCAUUGUUUCAAAGGGAUUGGUGUGUGUGUGUCCUUAAGAUGGAGGCCGGGUGAGUUUCUUUGAUAGGGUGCGUGGUUGGUGUGCUGUUGAGGUGGUAGUUAGAUAUUAGCGGCUUUCUGUCUCUGUCUUUGCUUCUCUUUCUGGUUUCCUGGACACCAUGAGGUGAUCAGGUUUCCUCCAGGGUGUGCUUCAUACCAUGGCUUGCUGUGAUGCCACAGGCCUGAAGGUGACCCAACCAAGUGACCCUGAACAAAAGUUUUGGAAGCCAAUAGCUGAAACCAUCCCUUUCCUCUUAAGAAGCUGAACUUCUUAGUUAUCUGUCACGGCAACAAAGUGUGACUCACAUAGCUCCUUCGGUAAGCAGGCCAGGUGGUGACGAUGCAUGUUCCAGGGAUAGCCCCACUGUGUCCUGCUUCCUGGGCUGGAAAAGCCACAUUGUUAAACUGACACCAAAGGGUGAGAUCUUGCUGACUGAUGAUCUAGCCCUAACUGAAAUGCCCACCUUGUAUCUGCUGCUUAUCUUUCUCUGACCCCUUCAUCACUCAGUGUUCCCUUAGAACUCUGCAUGUUGCUGGAGCAUCUGAGCCUCUUGCUCGACUUCACAUCCGUCUGCCCGGUAGCAUUGUGUUAGAGAUGUGGAGUCUCCCAAAGUGUGGCUUCUUAUGGCAUUUACAACGCUCUCAUUGUCAUGGUUAAAGUUGCCUCCAGUGUCUCUGGUGUUAGCAGCACAGGCCAUCACCUUCACCAUCUCCAGAAGGCCCAGAAGAUGUUGAGGAGACUAAUGAAUGGGCAGUGAGGUUUUGUCUUAACAAGUGCGGAGUAGGAGGCAGUGACGUGGAGAGGUUUCAUUGGGCCAUCAAGAGAUGCUUUGGAAAUGGUCUGACCUUGUUGUAUGGGUGAGUUUUUAAUGUGUGCAGGGAUUAAGUACCUGAAAACUGAAACCAUAAUGACCUGGGAAUUGAAGACCUGAAAGAAAUCUUAGAUAGUGUCCUUGGUGCUAGAGCUGCCCCAUCAUGGCCAAGGCAGUCGAAGAGGCUGUAAACACAUGAAGUAGGGUGUUGAUCCUUUAUCUUUCAGGACACCUGGCAAGGCUGCAGUGCUGGGCCAGUUGGUAGGUAUCACUUCCUCCAUGUAUCUCCGCAGCUGUAUAAAUGCACAUGAUCAUUUUCUGUUUGCCAAUAAGUAGACAGGAUGGAGACAGUAAUCCAAACCACUUAAGAACAAAGUCUGUGAACCACCUGGAUAUCCAAAAAUUUGAAGUGUGUGUGUGUGUGUGUGUGUGUGUGUGUGUGUGUGACACACAGAGAGACAGACAGAGAGACAGAGAGAAAGAAGCAUCAGCACCCAGUUGGUUUUGUCUUCUUCUUCUUCUUCUUCUUCUUCUUCUUCUUCUUCUUCUUCUUCUUCUUCUUCUUCUUCUUCUUCUUCUUCUUCUUCUUCUUCUCCUUCUCCUCCUCCUCCUCCUCCUCCUCCUCCUCCUCCUCCUCCUUCUCCUCCUUCUCCUCCUUCUCCUCCUUCUCCUCCUUCUCUUCCUUCUCCUCCUCCUCCUCCUCUCUCUUCUUCUCCUCCUCCUUCUUCUUUUUUUAUUCCAGUCUAGCUUCCAGACCAUGGGUACCAUCACUACUUUCAGUGUGACUCUUCCCCUCAUAGUUAAUUCUUUCAGGAAACAUCCUCACAGCCAACCCCAAGCCCCAGUGACGUGCCUCACCCGCUCCAGAGCGAUUCUAAAUCCAGUCAAGUUGAUGAGCAAGGUUAAUGAUCACAAGAGGAGAUACCUAGUAGCAUGAAGGCUGAGUGGGUUUUAAAUCAGUGGCUAAGACUUGGACUCGUGCUUUUGAAAGAAAACAUUGCUUAAGCUGCAGUCAAAUGACAGAAGUAAUGAAUGACUGAGUUGGUUAAGACUCGGGACCGCCCUAUUUGGCUUUCUGGUCUUGGUGCUUGGCAUGCAGUGUGAUAAAACUGGGGCUUAAUAGAGGUUGACCAGAAGAAUGAAUGUGAAUGUGUUGAGCCUGAUUUUUGUCUUACUGGGAGGUUGGGCCGAUGCCUGUCAAACCUACUCCAGGAAAGAUCCAGUAGUGUUCUUGUUUUCUUUCUUGUUUGUGUUUAGAUGACUGGAAGGCAGAGCCUACCCACCCUCAAUGGAAUUGAGAAGUGUUGUACACAGUGCCUUAUCCCACUCACUUCCAAGGGCCUUAGAAACUUCAGGCGCAUUACACAGUGCAACUUAGAGAGAUACUGGAGAGCCAGGGCAUGUGGCUCAGUGCUAGAGUAUUUGCCUAGUGUGUUCAAGGUUUUGACUUCAGCAACACUCCUCACCACCACCAAGGGGGCAAAGGGAGAGAGAGAUAUCCAAAUAGGUAUUUUUAAACUCUUCUUUGAAUUUAUGAAAAAAAUAAUCAUUUUAUGAAAUUAAUUUUGCUUUAGAUUAUUUUCCUUAUGGUCUCUACAUGUGAGCAUGAAAUGAGUUUGGUUAUUUGAUUGACAGUGGUGGUGGUGCCUCCUCUUCUUUAGGAUCCAUUAUGUGGUUACAGACAAGGACCCUGCCUUUGCCAUUGUGGAAGGUGGGAUACUCUGCGGGACAGGCUCUGCUUUAAGCAUGGUUUAUAUUUAAUGUUUCCCUUCUGGUCUCAGCUGAAAUGGAGGCAUAUGGAAGGAAGGGGAAGUUUUGGGAAAGCAAAGCGUAUGCAUGCAGUGGGACCAUGUGUUUGUGACCCUGUUCAGCAGUGUAAGGAAGGGCUGUGUAGCCCAUGAGAUGCUUCAAAGAAUUAAUUUGGAAGAUUGAUAUAUAAAAAGACAUGUCUAAUGUGUUCAUAGGUAGAUGGUAUCACCUUCUGGCAGAAGUUAAGUCUUUGAAGGAACAUUUUGUUCUGCUGAAAAAAGAAGAAAUAUUUAGUUCUGUAGGCACCUCAUUUGCCUUGUUCUAUAUCUUGUGUAAACAGCCACAUGUGAAAUGCUUAAAGAAAUUAAAAAAAAAAAAAAGACCCAUAAAAGCGAACCCGGUACAGAAUACCCUAGGGAGAAAGCAGCUUUGAGAAAUAAAUACUCAUUUUUAGAAAUGAAACACCUGUUAGAAUUAGAAACACAGUACAACAUGAGGACAUACAGACACACACACACAGACACACACACAGACACACACACACACACACACACACACACACACGCGAAAUAUACCCAAGGAAGGGCUUAGAAAGAAGAAAGAUUUUGUGGCUGGACAGAUUAAACAUAAUUGAAGAGUCAAUUGGUGAAAUGGAGAAUUUUUCAAGAGCGUAGCAGUGCAUAGGGACAGGAAAUUAAAAACUAAAGAGAGAGACUGAAGGUCCGGAGGACAGAACAAGAAACGACUGUACAAUCUCACUGUGCUCCUAAAGGGAGCACAACUUAGGAAAGGGAACAUUGGUUAACUUUCUAGAGGUUGCCCGAACUCCCAGAUUGCAGAAACAGAAAAGUAGUGUGAUCGGAAGAAAAGGAAACAUUAGCUACAUAGAAAGGACAGUGGUUCAUGCCUAGAAGCCCAGGAUUUAGAAAAUUGAGGUAGGAGAAACAGAAGUUCAAGGCUAGUGGCUAAGUAGUGAGUUCAAGACCAAUGUGGGCUCCUAGAGACCUUGUCUCAAAAACAAAGCAAAACAAAAUAAAAGAUAAAUAAGAAGACAAUCUGCCCUUUGAAACUUUAGGCAAAACUAUGGAAACCCAAAGGUUUAAAGGUCUAGAACCCAGCUGGACUGGGAGGAUGAGUUGGGGAGACCGUUAGGAGAAGAAUGGAGGAUCACCUGUAUGUAAGUAAUAACGUGACAACUGCAGCCAGCUCAGCAGCCACAAAGAGAAGCCUGGGAAUGAAGGAAUAACUCAAUACCUUCAGAGCAUUGGGGGAAAAUUCAAAGGUGAGAACGAAAUGCAUUUUUUAAACAUUAAUCCGAGAAAAAUUAUACUUAAUAGACCGGCAUUAAAGGAACCGUAGGAGGAAGAAACAUGAAAAUUAACCAGCUAGGCAUCUAAUUUGACACGGAAAAUGAGCAGUGUUAACUGCAGAAAAUAAAGAAGAGAACUUGAUAAAAGUAUGAGCCCAAAUUAGUGGCAUUGGAAGCAACAGCAGCAGCAAAGAUGUUGCUAAUAAGUUAUAGUUUCUGCAGAUAUUUUGAAAACCUGUAAUAUACUGUGAAGUGCCGUAUGACAGAUAUCUAGGUGAGAUAAAUUGUAAGAAGAAAUGUAACUUACUAAACUUGAGUCAAGAAGGAAAGUAGGCUGAAUAGUUUCAUAAGUGAAAGGUAGGGUAAGAUAUUACUUACUAGUGGUGCAACGUUUUUUGUUUUUAUUUUUUCGAGACAGGGUUUCUCUGUGUAGCUCUGGCUGUCCUGGAACUCACUCUGUAGACCAGGCUGGCCUCGAACUCAGAAAUCUGCCUGCCUCUGCCCGACAAGUGCUAGGAUUAAAGGCGUGCUCCACCACUGCCCAGCAGGGGUGCAACUUUUACAGACUAAAUUUAACAAAUUAUAUAAAAGACUUUUGGAUAGCCAAAAGAAUAAACUUACUAGAAGACACUGAAGAACACCUAGCAAAUGGACAGAGAAGCCAGACCCACACAGCAAGGAGUCAGACAUUUACCCCCAAGUGAUUGACAGGGUCAGAACUGUUCCAAGGCCAGGUUUUCCACAGACAACCUAAGCCACUCAACAAGAACACAUAGUGUGCCUCUGUAAGAUACUGUGAUAGGGAUAGGUCAGCGAUGUGUAGAGAUCGACCCUGGGCUUGCAAUAAAACUUGAAUGUGAUAUGUUGUAGGUCUACAUAGAAAAGAGGGAGGAUUCUGUUAAAUAAUAAUUCUGAGACAAGAUGAACAGCCAUAAUAAUAAUAAUAAUCGUCAUCACCAUCACCACCACCACCACCACCACCACCAUCAUCAUCUCCAAAGCAUACACACUCUUAACUUCUUUCCCUAAUGAUUAAAAGGAUUUCGGUAAAAGGCAAAACAUUUAAGACAGGGGUUGAGAGUUGUUAGCUCAGUUGGUAAAAGGCUUACCCUACAAACAAGAGAAUCUGAGUUCACACCAAAUGUCAGGUGGCACAGGCUCGCAAUUCCAGCUUGGGGCUGGGGUCGGGGGUAGAGCUCUAGGUUAGGUUCCUGGGGCUUGUUAGCACGACAGUGAACCUCAGUCAGAAACCCUGUCUUAACAAAAAAAUGGGCAGCUCCCGAGGAAUGGUACCCACAAGUCCCCUCUGGUCUCCAUAUGGAUACUCGCAGGAAUGAGCAUCACACACAUGCAUGCGGACAUACACAUACACACACAGAGAGAGAGAAAAAACAAGAGAGCUUUUAGAAAGAGAAGGUGUAUUACUUUGGAUCGGAGAAGUUUCUCUGAAAUAAAGUUGAGUCUGUUUGUACAAAAAAGAACAUUGUCGAAGUUAACUGCAUUAAAGUGGAGGACAAGUGUUUAUCACAGGACAUCAGCAAUAGAAUCUGCAAAACUCAAACAUAUGUACAUACACAUGUACGUACAUAUGUUCGUAUAUCCACCCAUCCAGACAUAUAAAUUUUAUUAUUCUUUUGUUUUUUAUUUUCAGCACAUCCCAACACCAAGUUCCCCAUCCACCCUCUCCCCACCCUCCUCCCUACCCUCCUCCCCACUCUCCUCCCCAGUACCUGCAGAUGUGCUUGUCUUCUGUUCUCUUAGGCAAAUAACUGAAUUGACUGGCAGUUUGAGUAUAUGAAGCACGUCUUCAACUCAGUAGAGAGAGUAUAUAACAUACGAUGCACAUGGCAUUCCAGAUGAAGGAAUCUGAGUGGCUUAGAAUCCCAUCAAAGGCCCUGCAGCCCUGUCGGUCAUCAGUGAAGUGCAGGUCAGGAAGGUUGUGAGAGGGGAUGGCCUUUUCCUUCUGCGAUCAAACCUGAGCAGCCCAGCAGUAGCAUGCCUGCCCAGCUUGUCCUGUCACACUUCUGAUGAGAGUGAAAUGUGACCCCUUCCACGUUCUAAAGCUCGGGAACUUCCCGCCUGCACACUGUGCUAGAAGAUGCUUACAAGCACGAUCAAGCCAGCAAUGCUUAAAAUCACAGAUAAAAGGAAACAACCCAAUUAUAGAAACUUAAACAGGAGAAUAGCAAUGACGUAUAUCACACACCUCGUCGGGAUAGCAUAUUGAUGUGGAAAUGAACAGCAUAUGUGAGUCUAAGAAGUGCACCAUUGAGUGGAAACGAGCACGUAACAAGUGAGUAUGGUCAGAAUGAUAUUAAUUUUAUAAAGCUUAAAAGCAGUCAAAACUAAAUGGUAGCAUUUAGGUACAUCUUUCCCAACAAUACUCUUUAACAAAGCAAACAACACAGUCAACAGAGUUCAUGGUGAUGUCCAGGGAUCAGCCAGGAAGGCAUGCGUUUCAAGCUGAGGUCUAUUACUUAGAUAUAUGAAAUCUAUGGUGGUCACUGUAUAUGAACAUGUAACUGCAGCAUGGAGAGCCAGGCGCUCCAGGACCCAGGUUUGGUUCCUCUGUUCUGUCCAGGUUGAACUCUGGCUAAGUUAUGGAACUUCUCCAAGUUUGGCUUCCUCAGGUAGUAACUGUACUCAAUAGAGUCUUGAUUGCUAAACAGGAUUCUAACAGAGUAAGUAUGCAAAAAAAAAAAAAAUUAGUGUUUGUGAAUGCUGUAUGAUCCUGUGUAUCUUAUGUAGAAUAAAGUAGUCUUCUACACAAGUGGACAUGCAAAUAGUGAUGACAGAGUGAGGUGCUCACAGUGUGGAUUUAAAAACGCAGAAGCAACGUGUAUUAAUAUACUACUCAGAAGGAUUAAAAUGUUUGGUGGGAAUUUCCAGUCCUUGAAAGACCAAAGGAGAGCCUUCUGGAGAGAGGAGCCAUGCUUUUGGCUCCCAAAUCUUUUAACUUUUGGAACAUUAGCAGAAUCCUCCUUCGCUUCUGGAAUACUGUGAGAGAACGUUCUAGAGGAAAGUGGUUUUGGAAAAGUGAGGUCAAGAUAUCGUUUCAGUUGGAUUCUUAACUUAGCAGUCUUUGCAUUUAACUGAAGCAGUUACGAGAUUCCAGGCAGCGUGUUAGAAAGGGUUUGUGUCCAGUGGGUGUUUAAAAGAACAUGUCAUCUGCAGUAGAUAGGAUUUUGCUGGAGUUGAUGAGUCAGUUGUGACAAACAUUUAAGAUUUGGUUGACUGGGAAAUACUCUGACAGCACACAUUUACAGUUCCUAAGUCAGAUUCACCCACCAUAGUCCUGUUGGCACAAAAGCCAGAGUCGUAGAAAAGUGAGUGACUCAGGGACCCUCUACUCAGGCGGUAGGGAAGUGUGAACAGUUUGUGGAUCUAGGACAUAGUCUCUGUGAACAGUGCUAAUAGUAGCUAUUCUUAUUUGGUAGAAUAACAAAGAAAUAAGAUUGGGAGUGGCAUUUUCAGCAGUGUGUGAGAGGUGGGGUGAUUUUCAUAAGAGUUAUUAUCUUAUGACCAAUUCAGUGUACCUGCGAGGCAUGGCAAAGGCCAGCUGUUUCACAGCUAGUUUUGUGUGUUACAAAGUUCAACACAAAUAUAUAGGUGUGAAAUGGCAUUUUGGGGGCAGGUUUAACGCAGUGUGUGUGUGUGUGUGUGUGUGUGUGUGUGUGUGUGUGUGUGCGCAUGCACAAGCACCACAGUUUGUAUGUGGAGGCCAUGAAAUGGUAGAUUUAAGGUCACGUAGUGAGUUGGUGUGUUCAAACUUUCUUGGUUUGCAUGUUUUGGCUUAUUCUGCAAUUUAAUGCUUUAUAAACCUGGCAAGAAAAAUGGCCUUUUCCAGGCACUGACUAUAAUUAGCCGUAAUGUCUUCAGGACUGAUGUCGUCCUCCUUCAAGUAGGCACAUGGUAAGUGACAUUAGUCAUCUUUCCAGGAAGCCCUAGAUUCCCCAAACCUUUUAAGUCAUUUUCCUGUAGCAAACCUUGAUGUGAAGGGCUUUCAGAUGCAAGAGUGGAGGCUUUUCAUGAGUGCCAGACACUCUGCUGUGCCGUUUUCAUAUGGGGAUUCGAAUCAGAAUAAAGCAAAAUUUAGAGAAUUUGAGAAUAAAAGUUGAGGAUAAAAAUUAUAGUCAUCCUCUGUCUUACAGCUUAAUAACUACAAAAUUAACUAGUGUUAAAAGCAUUAACUUGUGGAAUUAGUGGAAUUAACUAGUGGAAAAGCACAACAUAUUUUGUAAGCAUUAUAUUUAUAUAUAUAUAAAUUUAUAUUUAUAUUUAUAGUUUAUAUUUAUAUAUAUAUAAAUGUAAAACAACAAAUAAUGAACAUUUUUUUCAAUGUAAAGUGAGGUGUUAGGGGGUUAGUAUUCUCAGGUAGCUGAUUUGUUAUAGAAAGAUCAGAUUCCGUGAGCUUUAGCUUUCACCACAUGUGUGACUCUGGGUUGUAUGCUAAGCUUUGGCGAAGUGUAACAUAACCUUGGAUAUGUUCUCUAUUCUUUGCAUUGGAUCGGUAAGACGUGUGUGUGUGUGUGUGUGUGUGUGUGUGUGUGCACAUGCGUGUGUGUGUGUGUGUGUGUGUGUGUGUGUGUGUGCAUGUGUUACUGUUCUCACAGCAGGCAUAGCCGGCUCUACAGAGUAGGAUGCCUCACGUGAUGCCUCCUUUGCUCUUUUGAGGGAAACAGUAUUUUUACUUUGAAUUUCAGUGUAAGAAAGGUUCUGGGAUGAAUAUGGCCCUUCAACAGGACACAACCAGUUUCAUUUUUUUUUCUCAUGAAGAUCCAUGUCCUUUAGUUAUUAACCCUUAAACCUCCUGAUUAAAUGAAUGCCAUCCUUCACACAAUUGGUAUUAGAAUACUGAGAUUCUCUAAGCAAUAGCAAAUGCUUAUUUAAAAAUUUCGCUUUAAGUAGCCAAGGUUUCUUGCUGUACACUGUCAGCCUGAAUUUGCUUUUGAAGUUUGCUUGUAAGUUCAGACUUCGCUUUGGCAGCCUAUUUAUGCCAAUUAGAUAACAUGUUCACAGGGGAAUUUUCUGAAGUAGGCCCACUGGAAAACAAGGCGGUGCGCUUUCAGACUGUCUGAGCUGUUAACUUUUUUUUUUUUUGUCUUGACUUUUUGUUUCCUUCACAGUCCAAGGCUGGUUUUCCAUUGGCUGAAUUGUUCUCCUAUUGUGUCCCACAGGCAGUUCUGGCCUUAUACUGCUGCUAGUGAAUGUUAGGUUGUAGGACUCUGGCGGAGCUCUGAUCUUCAUUAGAAUAUUAGAAUGUGUGCACUCAACUGAGCUCUCUCUUACUUUUACACAGAUGAAAUUUUAGGCCAGUGCCGGAGGAUUUAAUGCAGCAAGUUCAACCCAGUGACCUGACAGGUGGCCUGCUGGAAACUGAUCUUCAGAUGUUAGUUUGAUCAAACUUAUACAGUAAAGCAUAAAAUAUAUUAAUAUAUUAAAAGGUCAUACCUAAUGCAGUUUCUGCCUUGUUCCCCUCCCCCCUACCGACACACACACACUCACACUGAAUUAUUUUCCACACUCUUUAUACAACUUGUUAUUGUUAUUGCUGUGUAAUAACUUAUUGUAGUUUUUGCAGUCCAUCAUCUGUUGCUUCAUAGUUUUCUGUGAAGUUUUCUAUGAGUUUUUACAGUCACAGACAGUGCUUCCGGUAGUCAUUUUUACACAUGAGCCUUUUUGUACAUGCUAAGUUUUCCUGCCAGGCACAUAUUGAGGUCGGAGACAUAUGGUAAAGGGCAUCCCCAGCAGUCAUGGAAGCAGGUGUGGCCUAAGUGCCUGUCACAGAAAUGCAUUGUAUGGGAAGUGCCGCUCCUGGCAUUCCUCAGGGAGGAUGCUAAACUGGAGCCCUAAGCAGUGGCCCUGAGAAGUAGAAUAGAAAAAGGUUUCCACUACUCUAUCCUGUUCUGGAGAGAUUGCUUCCUUUAAUCUGGUUCUGCGCCUUCCCAAAACCAUCCAUCCCUCAGCAUGGGCACGAAAACACACGCAGUGCGUGUGUAACUCCUUCUAUGCUUAGAGCCCCACAGUUCUUGCCACGCUCCUGAAUUACGAUGUCAUAGAUCUGACACACUCUUACCCUCAGUCUUUUUUUAAAAAAUUUCUUGGUUAUUUUAUUUUUUUACAUUUCAAAUGUUAUCCCCCUUUCCAAACCACUCUAUCCCACCUCCUCCACCCUCCUCCAUUGGGGACCCUGUGCUCAGUCUUAUGUUUGGCUGCAAGCAUUUGCAUCUGUAUUUGUCAGGCUCUGGCAGAGCCUCUCAGGAGACAGCUAUACCAGGCUCCUGUCAGCAAGCACUUAUGGGAAUCCACAAUAGUGACUGGGUUUGGUGGCUGCUUAUGGGAUGGAUGGACUGAUCCGCUCUUUGUCCCUGCAUUUCCUUUAGACAGGGGCAAUUCUCAGUUAAAAUUUUGAGAAGGGCAGGUGACCCCAUCCUUCAACUGGGGGCUGUGCCUAACUGCUGGGUAUGCUGAUACCCAAUCUUACACCAUGAUGUCAUAGGCUACCCACGCUGACCCCAGUUUCACACCAACUGCAGCCAUCAUAUCUUUUAUCAUGUCUUUCCUCAUUUUCAGAUUCCCCCCAAUGAGUCCAGGACUAUGUGGGCACUGAAUUUAUUGUUUUGUUAAAAAAAAAUUAGUGCGUGCCUAUUAUGAGAAAAUUGAUAAAGCACCUGAUUGCGUAGACUUGGCCCAAGAGUACUAGCACUGAGGGCUAACUACUUACUAGCAUUGUCCUAGGCCUGUCUUAUGGUGAAUGUGUGUUUAGAAAUCCAGAUGGAUGCAUACAAUUUAACACAUACCAUCAUGCUAUUCUGAGUGUUAGGAACUUUUAUUUUCCUUUAAUAAAAGACUUAAGCUUGUUCCAUGCCAGUCAGCAUGCUUCUAUACAGACCUUAAUGUUUCUGUAAUAGUUGCUUGUGUGUUUAUGUCACAGGUGUUUGUUUGUUUGUUUGUUUGUUUGUAUGUUUUGUUUUGUUUUGUUUAACCAAUUUGAUCUGAUUGACAUUUGUGGGUUAUGGUUUUCUAUCUGGAUGAGUAAAUCCUUUCUCGUUGUCAUCGCACCCUUUAGUAUGGUAGAGUCGUACUAAGUCAUGCUAUGAAAUUACAGCUGUUAUGACCCUGAGUAGCAUCAGGUGUCCUAGGAGGAGUGACCUCUGCAUGCAUCCAUGAGGGUGCAGAGAGAGGGGCCACCUCUUCCUUUAUCCUGCUGGACCCAUCUUUCCCUUUCCGCAGGUUAUUUUGGAGCAUGAGUCCAAUUUAGAAUGUCUUAAAAGCAUUUUCCCUCUUGCCAAGGUACAGAGAGGGCAAUGCUUUCUGAUUCUUAGAUAAUACUUUGCCUAGGGAUGUGCAUGGCCAGUGAAGGGCCUGCAGCUGCAGGCUAUUUUGAUGCUUUCUUGGCAACGCUUUGGUGUGUUUUUUUCUUUACUACUUCAUAUUAUUUCAGAAAGGACUGGGAAUAGAUUAGAAAGAUAUAAGCCAUCACUGCAUUGAGUUUACUUGAUGAUCAAAGGGAAAGGGGGCACAAGAAUAGGAAAGUGAGCAGAAAGCCGGGACUGGGCACUGUCCAUACAGUGCAGCGCACAGGAAAAGUGCAGUCGCCACCGUUGGCAGGACAAAACUGUUAACAUGGAUGGUUUGUCUGGUUAAACCACCGUGUUGGGUGAUGGCGUUGCUCAAGGUGGUGCGUCUCAAGCUUGGCCCUGAGCUCCCUUGAUGGGGAUGAGGUUACAUCUUUGUUUUGUUCAGAACCCCAGCCUCCUACUUGGAAGAAGCCCAGCUAUUUUUGAUGUUGAGGCCAAAGAGAAAAUUGAUUUAGGGAAGAGAGUUUUAAGCAGUCUAAAUUUAUGAUGGAAGACAGUCGCAGCUGGCAGGAUUGGAAAGGGCUGGCCUCCGUAGUAUUUUAGGAUCCAGUGAGGCCUAGUAGUUGGGUCAUGUGUUAGAGUGUUUUCUGGAGGGUACAGAUUCUUCUGGUGGCUUUGUCACUUUGCCAGUUCAAAGGUGGCUUAUGAAGAGCAAGGGCUUGCGAUCAGGGUAUCCUUGAUCAAAUACAAAGGACAGUGCAAGGGAGAGAAAGAAAAACCGAACUCAGAAAGAAAUACUGUCCUAUAAUCACUAAAAAAAAAAAAAACCACAGACAGUAGUCAGUGUGCAGAGAUGUGUGGGGGAAUUGGAGUAACCCCCAUAUAAUGAGUGCUAAUUGGGAAAUAAAAGGGUGUGGCUGUUUUUGAAAAAAACAUUUCUUCAGUAGAUUAGCACAUGGCCCUGACAUCCCAUUGCUAGACACACACUGAUGAGAAAUAAGAAGUAUGACCAGCUAUGCUAUGAAUGCUCAUAACCACAUUAUUUGUUAUAGACCAAAGUCCACUGUCAUCAGCUAGUGACUGGAGAGAGGUCCAUACUCUGUACGAUUCUGGUUUUGUGCACCAUCUGGAGUGAACAAAUCCAUAGAGGCAGGAAGCUGAUGAGUGGUUGCCUUGUAGGAGGCCCAGGGGGUAAUGGGAAAUGUCUGCUGAUGGGCACACAACUUUCCUUUGGCAGUAACUCCAAAUGUUCUAAACUUGAUGGUGAUGAUGGCUGGACACUCAGGUGAAUGUACAAAUGACAGUCGUUGGCUUGCACAUGUAAAAUUGUGACACUGAUGAAACAAUAGACAGAAUACUUAGAGCUGUAUGAUAAAAUGUCUAUUAAAUAAAUGUUGUAAAUACAAAGAAACACAUUCGGGAGCUGACCUCUGACUUUAUGACUCUCUUUACCUAAGUUAGAAACCAGCUUCUUGCAGGAGAGCCUGGGCAGGGCUGGCCUGGCCCUGGCUAUCCUUUCUAACACAGCCCUUGCUGAUCUCACUCUGUCUAGUUUUGACCGGCCUUGAACUAUACUUUGACAUUCUUUCUGAAGCUUUUAAGUUUUAGAGACAACAUAAACCUUGAGAGAGCAAUAUUUCCAAUUAGCUUUCUUAAACUGUUUGAAAAAUUGAUUGGUGGUGGCCUUGUCUCUGCUUUUAGGGAACUGGUGAGCCUGUCCAAGCAUCACCAGGCGGCUUGCUCUUGCUCUUCUCUCCCUGUCCUUUAUCCUCAAACCUUUCUACUUCUCUGCUGGAGAAGACAAUGAACGUACUGCGUUGUGGGUUCUCUCUCUCUCUCACUUGUUCUCGCUCUCUCUCACUCUCUCUUGCUCUCUUGCUCUCGUGUUUACAAUGGCAAGUCUUGUAUAGCUUUUGAAAUUAUAUGGGUAUAAGGUCAAAUUUGGAUUUCCUGUGAUAGAUUUUUAGUAUGUUUCAUUAGUGUUUUAAAAAUGUUUUCUUUGGCCAACUCAUUGUCACCUAAAACAUAAUAAAGGUCAUUAUUCAGUGAAGUGCACCGAUUUUAUGUAGUUUAUGUUAGCUUGUUGUAGUUUUGUGUAAGCAACCGAUUGUGAGGCUGACGAUGUAAUUCAGUGAAGGCUUGUCUAGUAUUUGCGGGUUCAGUCUGCAGACUCAUAAAAA